rnacentral:tRNA from 1 species
GUUUAUAUAAUUUAUAAAGAAUAUCGUAUUGAAGCUGCGAAUGAGGCAUAAAGCCUGUAAACA